GGAUGUGAGGGCGAUCUGACUGUAACAUCUAUCACUCCAUUGAUCACCAGGGUUGAUUCAUUGAUCUGGCUGGCUAGGUGGGUAUUCCCUUGCCCCCUCAGUGAUCCAUGUGCAUCCUCCUGAAGCUGCAUGUUCAGUCAGAGAGGACGGCCACCCCUGAUAGAGGAGGACUGUUCCUCAGUCAAGGGUAUAUGAGUAUGCGCUCCCCUGUUAGAAGCUCCAAACAAGUUCUCAAGAGAUCUUUCCUUUCAUGAUUGCUAGCUGCAAUCUGGUCUUAAAAUUCUGAAAGCCUGGGCUUGGAAUUUAGCUCAAUGGCCUAAAUG
ensembl:misc_RNA 7SK 7SK RNA